GACGAACGCUGGCGGCGUGCUUAACACAUGCAAGUCGAGCGGAAAGGCCCCUUCGGGGGUACUCGAGAGGCGAACGGGUGAGUAACACGUGAGUAAUCUGCCCUGCGCUCUGGGAUAGCCCCCGGAGACGGCGAGUAAUACCGGAUAUGACCGCUACACGCAUGUGUCGGUGGUGGAAAGUUUUUCGGGGCAGGAUGUGCUCGCGGCCUAUCAGCUUGGUGGGGGGGUAAUGGAUCCCCAAGGCUUUGACGGGGAGCCGGCCUGAGAGGGUGACCGGACCCACUGGGACUGGGAUGCGGCCCAGCCUCGUACGGGAGGAAGCGGUGGGGAGUAUUGGACAAUGGGCUGAAGCCUAAUCCAGCAACGCCGCGUGAGGGAUGACGGCAUUCGGGUUGUAAACCUCUUUCAGUACCGACGAAGCGAAAGUGACGGUAGGUACAGAAGAAGGACCGGCCAACUACGUGCCAGCCGCCGCGGUAAGAC
rnacentral:rRNA from 1 species